rnacentral:rRNA from 1 species
UACGGAGGAUGCAAGCGUUAUCCGGCAUGAUUGGGCGUAAAGGGUCCGCCGGUGGCCCUGUAAGUCUGCUGUUAAAGAGUGAGGCUUAACCUCAUAAAAGCAGUGGAAACUACAGAGCUAGAGUGCGUUCGGGGUAGCAGGAAUUCCUGGUGUAGCGGUGAAAUGCGUAGAGAUCAGGAAGAACACCGGUGGCGAAAGCGUGCUACUAGGCCGUAACUGACACUGAGGGACGAAAGCUAGGGGAGCGAAGGGG